rnacentral:rRNA from 1 species
UACGAAGGGGGCUAGCGUUGCUCGGAAUCACUGGGCGUAAAGCGCACGUAGGCGGAUCCUUAAGUCGGUGGUGAAAUCCUGGAGCUCAACUCCAGAACUGCCUUCGAUACUGAGGGUCUUGAGUCCGGGAGAGGUGAGUGGAACUGCGAGUGUAGAGGUGAAAUUCGUAGAUAUUCGGCAAGAACACCAGUGGCGAAGGCGGCUCACUGGCCCGGUACG